CUCAGCCUCUGUUAGUAUUGUCUGAAACACACUGCUUGAGGAGUGUGUGUUAAGGACACUCUAAAAAAGAGACUUGUGGGAGGUUUCAGGCAUUUGGAAGUUUUAGAUACGACUUCAAGUAAGAUUCACUUUCGGGUGAGGUAUUUAUAUCAGCCAGAGUCCCAGCAGGAAGAUGGCAUCUUCCACAAGAUAAGUGGGCCAAGUUUAAAGAUGAGAUGAUCUACACAGGCAACUCUAUAGAUCACUGGGGACUCAUCCUGCAGAUAUCAUUCAAGGUAUCCGGUUCAGAAUCUAUCACCAGCUCAGACUGUAGCCUCUGAAGAGAUCUCAGAUGUUUUGUGCCUUAUACAUUUAAUUCUGAGAUCAUAGAGCCCAAGGAGGUUUUGAGGACCCUCUACCCACACCUUCAGAUGUUUUCAGAGGAUUUGCUGGCAGGGCUGGGCCACUGGGCCUUGCUGGGCUCUAAUUUUCCUACCCACGUGUGUCCUAUAGACCGUGAAUUUUCUUCUAAACACUCUUGACUUUUCACUUGUUAAAUUAAAGCAUUUUCUUAA
rnacentral:lncRNA from 1 species